GUCUGGGAAACUGCCUGAUGGAGGGGGGUAACUACUGGAAACGGUAGCUAAUACCGCAUAAUGUCGCAAGACCAAAGUGGGGGACCUUCGGGCCUCAUGCCAUCAGAUGUGCCCAGAUGGGAUUAGCUAGUAGGUGGGGUAAUGGCUCACCUAGGCGACGAUCCCUAGCUGGUCUGAGAGGAUGACCAGCCACACUGGAACUGAGACACGGUCCAG
rnacentral:rRNA from 1 species